rnacentral:rRNA from 1 species
AAGUCGGACGGACACCUUCUGGUUGUGUGGCUGGCGGACAGGUGAGUAACGCGUAGGAAUCUACCCCUAGGAGGGGGAUAACAGCUGGAAACGGCUGCUAAUACCCCAUACAGGCGCGAGCUGAAAGGAGCAAUCCGCCUAGGGAUGAGCCUGCGUCGGAUUAGCUAGUUGGUGGGGUAAUGGCCUACCAAGGCGACGAUCCGUAGCGGGUCUGAGAGGAUGGCCCGCCACACUGGGACUGAGACACGGCCCAGACUCCUACGGGAGGCAGCAGUGGGGAAUUUUCCGCAAUGGGCGAAAGCCUGACGGAGCAAUACCGCGUGAGGGAGGAAGGCCUUCGGGUUGUAAACCUCUUUUCUGGGGGACGAA